rnacentral:rRNA from 1 species
UACGGAGGGUGCGAGCGUUGUCCGGAAUCAUUGGGCGUAAAGGGCGCGUAGGUGGCCUGUGGAAGUCUGCGGUGAAAGCCCGGCGCUCAACGCCGGGUCGGCCGUGGAUACUCUCGGGCUCGAGCUUACUAGAGGCAGAUGGAAUUCCGGGUGUAGCGGUGAAAUGCGUAGAGAUCGGUAGGAACACCAGUGGCGAAGGCGGUCUCCUGGAGCAUACUUGACGCUGAGGCGCGAAAGCUGGGGGAGCGAACGGG